UUUCUCAUCUGUCUGGAGAUUGGAUCAGUAUACCCCUAAGGUCUGUUCUGGUCCUAAAGGCUAUACAUUUGUCAUUCUCUAAGCUCGACUGCUUUCCUGUCUGAUUCGUUUCUCUCUCUCACAAACAGGAACAGCUUCAGCUGCGGGGCUCCUUUACCUGCACACAUGGGCAGCUGCUGUGUCUGGCUGUGUCUUUGCCGUCUUUACUGCAUCCAUGUGGCCUCAAACACUUGGACACCUUAUUAACUCAGGGACAAACCCUGGGAAAACCAUGACCAUUGCCAUGAUAUUUUAUCUUCUAGAAAUAUUUUUUUGUGCCUGGUGCACAGCUUUUAAGUUUGUCCCAGGAGGUGUCUACGCUAGAGAAAGAUCAGAUGUGCUUUUGGGGACAAUGAUGUUAAUUAUUGGGCUGAAUAUGCUAUUUGGUCCUAAGAAAAACUUUGACUUGCUUCUUCAAACAAAAAACAGUUCUAAAGUGCUUUUCAGAAAGAGUGAAAAAUACAUGAAACUUUUUCUGUGGCUGCUUGUUGGUGUGGGAUUGUUGGGAUUAGGACUACGGCAUAAAGCCUAUGAGAGAAAACUGGGCAAAGUGG
rnacentral:sRNA from 1 species